AACACCGAAUAACCUCAAAUUAUCCCAACAUUUAAUAUUUUUUUCAUAGUUUUGCACAAAAUUUAAUUAAAACUUACUUUAAACAUGUCAUUAUUGACUAGAACCGAUGUGACGAGUGUUAAAUUAUAUGAUAAUUUUAUUCUAGCUGGAAUAGGUAGUUAUAUGCAAGUAUAUGCAGUAAAUUCAUGCAAAUUAUUGCAACGGUUACACGUGUUAAAAGGCCAAAAAAUAUAUGGUUUCGUACCUUUGAAAACCGAAUCCAAGAUUUUGGUAUAUGGCGGAAAACAAUUCACAAUAGUUGCACUAAAUAAGAAGGAAAUCAUAUUUACUUGCUGUUUUGCUUCCAUAGUUUGUGAUGAUUGGUUGCAUUCGGGAAUAUGGUUGCCAAAUAACAAAAUUUCACUUUUAACUGCUCACAAUGUGGUUCAGAUAUGGAAUACAGAAACACAAUCGCUAGAAAAACAAUACAAAAACAAAAAUAACUCCAUACUCUAUAGUGGCUUGCUUUUACCACUGAGCGAAGGCAUACUGGUGUUCAGUGGAACUGUAUUCUCAGAAGUACUUAUCAGUUAUGAGGAUGAGGAGCCGAUGCACUAUUUGAGGGGACACAAGGGUGUCAUAUUCUCAAUAAGCUGUGAUCCCAAAAAAGGAGUUAUAGUAACUACAUCAGACGACAGAUCAGUUCAUAUCUGGACCAUAAAAAACAAAACUACCCACACUUUUGAUACAAAAGCAUUCUGGGAAAAUGUUCACAUUCAUCCCCUGCAUCAGUUAUAUGGACAUGGUGCCAGAGUGAUGCGUAAUUGCAUAGUAAAUGAUAUAGUCAUAUCUGUUGGUGAAGAUUCUGCAAUAUGCUAUUGGGAUUUUGCUGGUAAUUUGCUUAAGAAAAUCCCAGCUCACACAAACGCAUGCAUUUGGUCGUUGGAUGCAAAUGAAGAGCAUCUAGUCACAGGGGGAGCUGAUGGCGCUGUGAUAUUACACCCACUCUCAAUUUUAGAUGAAUUUAAUAAGAACAGUGAAAUACUUAAUUUAGAUAUUGACACGCCAAAGAAGAUAGUAUUCACUGCAAGAAGGAAUGUUAUAGCAAUGAAUGAAAAUAAUGAUUUAGUUUAUUAUGAUGUCGAUUCAAAAUCUUCAACCGCUUUCAAACUUAAACACGAAUCGACGUACAAAUUAGUCAGUGUAUCGUCAUGUAGGCAAUUGAUAGCUGUCGUAGACAUGACGGGGAAAUUUGAUGUUUUUAUCGAAAACUGCAAAGGACCUCCAAUGAUCAGUAACGUUAUUGACACAAAGUUAGAUAUCGGCAAAAUACUUUCCAUGCACUGGCUAUUGAAUAGACAUCUAGUGUUUUGUGCUGAUUUGGGUAAAAUUACCGUUCUCAAGCACAGUGGUAAGGAAAUAGACGUGUAUGCUGAAUUCGAGUUGCCAAAUUGUAAAGAGCGUUGGAUUACGGCCUGCGCCCUCAGUUCAGAUAAUCUCAUAGUAGGAGAUCGUGUAGGAAAUAUACACGUAUUUGUUCGCGGGGAAAAAACACCUAUAAAAACUUUUAAACGCUUACAUGGAAGAUAUGGUCCAACAUCGAUAAAUGUACGGAAUAAUGAGUUUAUUACCACUGGACGAGAUGGGACCAUGAAAUAUUUCAACUUAAAUGCUUUAUCGCAUAGUUACAAUAAAGAUUUAGAUUUCCAAUGGGUUGAAAGAUUUGUUGAUACAAACGAUAGGUACAUAUGUGGGUUCCAAGAACGGGCUUUUGUCGUUUUCGAUAUAAAAAAUAAUGCUAGAGCACUAGAAGUACCAUGCGGUGGAGGCCACAGGUCCUGGGAUGUUUUACGCUAUAUUAAAAAUGAUGAAGGAAAUUUCGAUGAAUUUAUUAGCUUCAUUUACAUAAAGGAAGCGAAUAUUCAUUUAGAGAGGUUUAAUUUAAAUAAAAUCGUUUCCAAAAAUAUUGUACAUGGGACACAUUCGAAAGAAAUCAAUUGUUUAAUAACUCACAAAAUGGAUGAUACAUUGUUCUAUAUAUCUGGUGGUGAAGAUACUACGCUAAGGGUGUCCAGUUCAAAUUCUGCACUAGAAUUUAAAGAUGAACUCGUUUUAAAACAUUUGUCAAAUGUAAGGGCAUUAAAAAUAAACAAAUUGGACGAUAGAACGCUGUUGGUUGUAUCAGCUGGUGGCCGAGCACAAAUAUGCAUAAAUAAAAUUCUAUUUGAUAAAGUAGAUGGCGAAAUAAGGGUAACCGCAGAAGAAUUGGUCAAUUAUAUGAUAAAUGGGACAGACAGAGAAAGAAGGUAUAAAAAAAUGUUCAGAGAUGACGCAAUAGACUUUAAUCCAGAAACGAGAAUAAUGGAUUUAGAUAAUUAUAAAAAAGACGAUAAUACAUAUGAGAUAUUCGCUGGUUGCUCAGAUGGAAUUUUACGUAUAUUUCAAUUUGAUUUGAAUUCUAAGGAUUUUCAUAAAAUAAACGAUGUGGUGUAUCAUGGUGCUUGUAUACUGAAAACGAAAAUCGUUGACGUCGGAAAUACAAAACUUCUCUUAUCAAGCACAACCGUAAGGGAGAUUUCGCUCUGGAAUGUACUGAAUAUAUCAGAUAGACCAAUAUCUACUUGCACGACCCACCAGUCGGGUAUAAACAGCAUUUGCGCCAAAGAGCUGUCUGAUACUGAACUGCUAUUGGCCACCGGUGGUGACGACAAUGCUGUGGAGCUUUUCCACUUUGAAGUGACGAAUGAUCUUUUGAAAAAUAAAUGCUGUUGGUCGCAUUCUGGCAGCCAUUGUUCCCAAGUGACAGGUGUCAUUGUGAUCGACAAUCUGUUGGUGUCGGCUGCCAUAGACCAACGAGUGACGGUGUUCGAGUGGUCUAUUGUCGAUGGUCAGAUUAAAUGCGACUUUAAGUCGCAAGCGUUUAGCGACAUUGCGGAUGUCCAGGGCAUAGAUCUCGUUGGAAGUGAUGAACAUACCAUCACACUAUGUAUAUAUGGGAAAGGUAUUGAGUUAAUGGAAAUACCUAGACCGAGAAAUUAAUAGAUUACCUAUACAUCAUAUGAAAGGAUAUAAGAAGUUCGCAAAUAAGGUUCCGAUGUCAGUAAAAGUGAAGGCAGUAACGGAGCCGGUGUGGCUCGGCGAGGGACCGCACUGGUCGCAGGAGGAGCAGGCCCUCUACUUCGUGAGCAUCUUCGACCAGACAGUGCAUAAGUAUGUGCCCAGCAGUGGG